GCCUUCGCCCUGCGGGGCAACCGUGUCACGGUCACGGUCCGCUGAAUCACGGCUUGCUGCACCUAGUGAACGGUGAUGGCUGAAUCAGAAUUAGUAACCAGCGAUCAGGAAAGACUCUUGCAAAGAGUCCUCGCAAAGACUGGAAAAUCUGGACAAUUUGCCAUUUCUUGGAAGGCACCUCUCGGUGAGGGAGAACAUUGACGAGAUUGUCAGCAUCUGACAAAAAGGCUUCUCGAAGAUCAAGCAGAAGAAAACUACUACUUUGAAGACAACACAAGUUGGAAAAGAAUCAAGGCCGGCAGCCAUGAAAGAGCCUCGGGCUCAAGUGCAUUUUACCUCCGGCGAUGCAGAACAGGAAACUGCGGCAACUUCAUCCGUUUCCAAAAAAAAAGAGCAACAGGAAUUGCACAUGCAUGAAGGAAGGGGCAUGCGCAAAUACGAGCAACCCAAACUAAAUCCCAGCUAUGAUCGGAACUGAAAGUGAAAGUGAAUAUGAGGUGGAAUCAGAUUCUCCGGAUAAAUCAGACAAAGAUGAAGAGACAAACGAAGAGCAACAGGAAGGGGUUGGAGGUGAUAUUGGAGACAUAAAAAAAUCUUUGGUGCAAAUAAUGCAUGAAUUAUAAGCAUUAAAAGUAAUAAAAAGAUAUUAAAAAUAUGAAGAUUAUGUUUGAUAAAAUGAUGAAAAGACAGGACAAAAUGGACAAGAAAAUUAAAAACUUGGAAGAAAUAACGGGAGACACCAUUGAUAGAGUGAAUAAAAUGGAAGAUAAUAUUUCUGCCUGUACAUCAGAAGGAAAACGGUUGUUGGAAAAAGUGGAUGUACUUGAAAAUUUUAACAGACAAAAUAAUGUUAAGAUUGUUGGACUUAAAGAAGACUUAUAAAGGGAGAGGAUCCAAUAAAUUUUUUUCAAAAAUGGAUUCCGGAAAUUUUGGAAGUGGAAGAAGGAACCCAGUUAAUUGAAAUUGAAAGGGCUCACAGAGCCUUAAGAUCAAGACCUCAAGUUGAUCAAAACCCACGAUCAAUCUUGAUAAAAUGCUUAAGAUAUCAAGAUAAAGAAAAGAUCCUGAAGACAGCUGCUCAACGUGCCAGAAAGAGAAACGGGUCAUUGAUGAUAGAAGGGAAAACAGUUCUUUUCUAUCCUGAUAUAAAUUAUGACCUUUUGAAGAGAAAGAAGGAAUUUAACCCGGCGAGAAAAGUUUUAUGGGAAAAGGGUUAUAAAUUUAUAUUGUGCCACCCGGCAACCUUGAUAAUUUUUUUGGAUGACGGGAAAAGAAGAUCUUUUACUGAUUAUCGGGAUGCGGAGGAAUUUGCACAAGAACUCCCAAAUAUUUGCUAACCACAGCCAAAGAUUUAAAAGUGAAACGGAUUAAAGAUGAAGACAGGGACAGUGAAUGGAGUUGAUGGAUGUUUAAGGACAGAAGAAAAUUUAAAUAUAUUCUUAAUUAUAUGAUCCAGGGGGAGAAAGGUAAAAAUUUGAGAAAUAUUAAUCGAGAGUAGUGAUAUUAUUUUUUCUUCUCUUAUAUAUACUUUUUUAUGUUACGGGGGAGCUGGGGGAACUUUGGAUCGAUUACUACGGGAUUCACGUGUGUAAUCAUGGCGAUUGCCAUGACCCGCACAACGGAGUGGGGUAAUGUUGUGUUUUUUCUUUAUUCACAACAUUAGUAGGGGGGGUAUUUUGUUAUUUUUUUUCUUUAUAAUCUAUCUUUCUUUCAUCUUUCUUUCUUUGCCUGGACAAUCAAGGGGGAGACACAUAGCAACACGGAGAAUUUUAAAAAGAUUCCCCAAGGUACUACGAAAGUUGAAAAGUUAGGUAUUACUAUACACUGGAGUAACCCUGUUAAAAAUAAUGACUAAUUUACAGAAUUUUUAAAGUUUUAAUGUUAAUGGGCUUAAUGGACCGGUGAAAAGAAAAAGAACUUCAACGUACAUUAAGAAAAUGAAAAUAGAUAUAGCUUUUAGCUGCAUUCCAUUUGAAAAAAUUACUUAUAAUUUAAGAGAUAAAUACGAAAUAUUUCUGAAAAUAUGGCACCCUUAUUUACAAAAGAUAGGAUUAAAUAUAUAGGUGCUCUGAAGAUAAAAUUAUUGGUUAUUUGGGGAAAGAAAUAAAUAUAUAUAUUAAAGCUAUUAUGAACUCUGUGGAGCAUGUGGGGAUCUUCCAAUAUCCAGGCAUUCUUUUUUUCUUUUUUUU